ACUGGCAACAGCUUUGAUUGUCCAGCAGCAGACAAGAAGCCAGAUAAUACUCCCUGUCUUGAUGAAGGGGUUUGUAGAGACGGAGAGUGCCUGGCAUUUUGUGAGGGAAGGGGCCUCAUAUCCUGCAUCUGCGAUGGAGUGGAUACUUCCUGCUACAGGUGUUGCCGUGUGAAUGCAACAUCUCCAUGUGAACGGUACGACCCUGCCUCCCUGCUGCCAGAUGGACGACCCUGUGUACAGGGCUACUGCACCCAGGGGACAUGUAAAGCGCACAGUGCAGAAUACCAUUGAGAGGUUGUUCUCCAUCAUCGAAAACCUGUCCAUCAGUGAAAUCAUUAUAUUUUUUCAUUUAGUGACAACUUGAUUGGUGCAGUAUUGAUCAGCAGUCUUCUGGUAUGGGUUCCUGUCUGUAUUGGCAUCCGUAUCAGGGAUUACAGGCAUAAGAAAAGAUUUGUAGAUGAUAUGUACAGAGAAAUCAAAAAGGAUCGUGUGCUGCUGUAUGAUCAAGAUGGACGAAAAAUAAAGAGGCCUAUUCUGAAGGAUGGUAAAUCCGAACUGCGUGAGCUGAAAGCCUCCAACCUUUCAUCAAGGUCCUAAUGACAGCUCUGGUCAAGAUUCAAGUGCCUAAUACGACCAAUAAAACAAUUCAUGAAAAAACAUUUGUCACAUAAAGGAGACAACUACUUUGUCAAAGGACAUUAAGAAAUGAGUCCUCAUCAUAUGUUGUGAUUUAAAGUCCUUUAAGAUAAUAGUUUUUAAAAGACUUACGUAUAUUUCAGUGUUUGAAAUUAAAGGGGGUACUGGGGACCUUGUGUUCUGAUCCUCUAUCAUAAUAAUCUAGGGACUCUCCGAGCUUUAAUUUCCAGCAAUGGCAAGGACGUAUUGUCUUUCAUGCUUAAUUUUGAAGACUGCAUUCUGAACGAAUUUUUUCUGCAAAGUGUUAUGAUUGACCUCAGUUUGAGUUGGUUCUCACCAAAUCAGGAUUGAGGUGAAUGUUAUGGGAACCCACAGGAUUGAGGUGAAUAUUAUGUGAAUCUAACAUAUUGUAAUUUGAAUGAGUCCAUCCAUAGUCUUAUACUUUUUCACUUUCAACCUCUCAUGAACAUUUUAUCCCAUUAUUCAUUAUACAACAUCUGCAUUUAUAUACCGUGGUCAAUGCAUGGGCCACACCUGCCACAUGCAUGUCACCACAACAGUAACUAGUAUAUACCAUGGUUUUGCAUCCCGUAUUCAACUUAGACAACUGUUGACUGUGAAACAAAAUUAUCAUAGAACCAGUAUCUCAUGUAACAUGAAUUGUUACUUUUUAUUUAGUUUUAAAACUUUUACAGUAUCAUGCUGGGACAUCAAACCAGAGACCCUAUAUGGUCUCUGAUCGAACUCCAUAUCACGUAGCCUUAAUGAAUGUACAUUCAGCUUCUUUUUAGUACCACUGCUGAGUCACUGUACCAUGGUGCUAUGUUCGACAGGCUUCAGUGUUGUCCGAUAUUCUUUCUAAGCUGACCACAGAUAUUCUGUUCGAGUCCUGUACAAGUCAUACCAAGUGACUGAAGGAUCAGGGAGGCAGGCUCAAUGACCUGGUUGAUUGUAUGUGAUUGUACCUGGUCCUGACUUGAUUAAAUACAGGCAACUAUCUUCUCGAUGCAAUAUUGCAGAGUGUGGUGUUAAAUAUACAAUCUAAGCAAAUAUUUCUUGGCAGAAGUUGUGUACGUGUGAAGUAAAAUGUCUUGCACUGAUCAAGUCAAAAUAGAAUUUCUUACAGUUAUUCUGCUGCAUGAAACACUAAAAUUAUUUUGCUACAAAAAAAGAUAUAUGAAGGCUCAUACACAAUAAUAUGUACCACAUUGCUUUGGUGAAUGCUUGGCUGAAUAGCAGAACGAGCAAAACUCAGCAUUUGUCAUAAAGUUCAUAACUGAACUUGUGUGUAAGCCUCAGUAUUGAACAUAUUUGAGGGUAAAGUGAGGAAACAAUCUUGGUUUUGGUACCAUGAAGUCUUUUGUUGUAACUUCAUAGUACUGCAGUGUUUUUACUGCAAUAUUUAGGUGUAAAUGUGCAAUGUUUUAGUUUUAUAAGGAAUAUCUUUCCCACUGUGAUAGGUCUUUUUGAUAUGGUUGUAGUGUAUAGAAAACACUUUAUUUGUAAAUACAUCCUGUCCUGUGUAUAAUAUUUUACUGAAACAUAUCCAGGGCUCCAGAUAAUUUUUCAUGAUCAGGAGUACGUACUCCUUAUAUUUUCAACAUAGGAGUACUGGAAAACAAUAAGAGUACAUUUAGAGUGCUGAAUGGAAUUUGAUGGCGUUUCAGUAAUCUUGUGUUUCGUUUCAUAUAUGCACCACAUCAAUGCUAUUCUUGUGUAAACAGGUCAGUAAACAAUAAAACAAU
rnacentral:lncRNA from 1 species